rnacentral:rRNA from 1 species
GAUCCUGGCUCAGGAUGAACGCUAGCUACAGGCUUAACACAUGCAAGUCGAGGGGCAGCAUGAACUUAGCUUGCUAAGUUUGAUGGCGACCGGCGCACGGGUGAGUAACACGUAUCCAACCUGCCGAUGACUCGGGGAUAGCCUUUCGAAAGAAAAAUUAAUACCCGAUGGCAUAAUUCUUCCGCAUGGUAGAAUUAUUAAAGAAUUUCGGUCAUCGAUGGGGAUGCGUUCCAUUAGGUUG